rnacentral:pre_miRNA from 1 species
UUUUUAGUGGAAGUAUGUCUCAUGUAUUAUUUGGGACAUACUUAUACUAAAA